rnacentral:rRNA from 1 species
GAUGAACGCUGGCGGCGUGCCUAAUACAUGCAAGUCGAGCGAACAGACGAGGAGCUUGCUCCUCUGAUGUUAGCGGCGGACGGGUGAGUAACACGUGGAUAACCUACCUAUAAGACUGGGAUAACUUCGGGAAACCGGAGCUAAUACCGGAUAACAUGUUGAACCGCAUGGUUCAACAGUGAAAGACGGUCUUGCUGUCACUUAUAGAUGGAUCCGCGCCGCAUUAGCUAGUUGGUAAGGUAACGGCUUACCAAGGCAACGAUGCGUAGCCGACCUGAGAGGGUGAUCGGCCACACUGGAACUGAGACACGGUCCAGCCUCCUACGGGAGGCAGCAGUAGGGAAUCUUCCGCAAUGGGCGAAAGCCUGACGGAGCAACGCCGCGUGAGUGAAGAAGGUCUUCGGAUCGUAAAACUCUGUUAUUAGGGAAGAACAAAUGUGUAAGUAACUAUGCACGUCUUGACGGUACCUAAUCAGAAAGCCACGGCUAACUACGUG